rnacentral:rRNA from 1 species
AAUAGAUACCCUGGUAGUCCACGCCGUAAACGAUGAGUGCUAAGUGUUAGGGGGUUUCCGCCCCUUAUGCUGCAGCUAACGCAUUAAGCACUCCGCCUGGGGAGUACGGUCGCAAGACUGAAACUCAAAGGAAUUGACGGGGGCCCGCACAAGCGGUGGAGCAUGUGGUUUAAUUCGAAGCAACGCGAAGAACCUUACCAGGUCUUGACAUCCCACUGACCGCUAUGGAGACAUAGUUUUCCCUUCGGGGACAGUGGUGACAGGCGGUGCAUGGUUGUCGUCAGCUCGUGUCGUGAGAUGUUGGGUUAAAUCCCGCAACGAGCGCAACCCUUGAGAUUAGUUGCCAUCAUUCAGUUGGGCACUCUAAUCUGACUGCCGGUGAUAAACCGGAGGAAGGUGGGGAUGACGUCAAAUCAUCAUGCCCCUUAUGACCUGGGCUACACACGUGCUACAAUGGACGGUACAAACGGUUGCCAACCCGCGAAGGGAGCCAAUCCGAUAAACCGUUCUCAGUUCGGAUUGUAGG